rnacentral:rRNA from 1 species
UAGGGAAUCUUCCACAAUGGGCGCAAGCCUGAUGGAGCAACACCGCGUGAGUGAAGAAGGGUUUCAGCUCGUAAAGCUCUGUUGUUAAAGAAGAACACGUAUGAGAGUAACUGUUCAUACGUUGACGGUAUUUAACCAGAAAGUCACGGCUAACUACGUGCCAGCAGCCGCGGUAAUACGUAGGUGGCAAGCGUUAUCCGGAUUUAUUGGGCGUAAAGAGAGUGCAGGCGGUUUUCUAAGUCUGAUGUGAAAGCCUUCGGCUUAACCGGAGAAGUGCAUCGGAAACUGGAUAACUUGAGUGCAGAAGAGGGUAGUGGAACUCCAUGUGUAGCGGUGGAAUGCGUAGAUAUAUGGAAGAACACCAGUGGCGAAGGCGGCUACCUGGUCUGCAACUGACGCUGAGACUCGAAAGCGUGGGGAGCAAACAGGAUUAGAUACCCUGGUAGUCCACGCCGUAAACGAUGAGUGCUAGGUGUUGGGUCCUUUCCGGGACUCAGUGCCGCAGCUAACGCAUUAAGCACUCCGCCUGGGGAGUACGACCGCAAGGUU